UACGUAGGGGGCAAGCGUUUGUCCGGAUUUAUUGGGCGUAAAGAGCGUGUAGGCGGCUUUGCAAGUCCGUUGUGAAAACUCGAGGCUCAACCUCGAGACGUCGAUGGAAACCAUCUGGCUAGAGUCCGGAAGAGGAGAGUGGAAUUCCUGGUGUAGCGGUGAAAUGCGCAGAUAUCAGGAAGAACACCUAUGGCGAAGGCAGCUCUCUGGGACGGUACUGACGCUGAGACGCGAAAGCGUGGGGAGCGAACAGG
rnacentral:rRNA from 1 species